CAUGUCUGUUAUAGUUAUUCGCGCUUUCUUUUCUCUUCUGUUUUAAUUUGAUUUUUGUCUUUGGACCAUUUUUUAUGAAUGGGAUUGCUUUCAGAUUAUAAUUGCCAUGUCUUACCUAAAUGAGAAUUAUAUCGUGUAUUGAUGAGAAAAUGGAUUUGUUUUUUCUUUUUCAUUGCUAAAAUUGGAAUCUUUCAAUCAGAAGUGAGGAAAAGUGUUACCUUUAAACCUUGUAAGAAUAUGUGGAAAAUGGGUUUUUAUUGCUGCUUUGCUUUUGUUCUCUUUUCUCGAGUCCAAUGAUGAAUAUUAUGCUACUUUGGUGGAUAUGCUGAUUUUCAAAUUGAGUUUUUAUUCUUUGAUUCACUUUAAUGGUUGCUGGUUAUCUUGUUGAUUUUUGCAUUUGUUCUACGGGAUCUUAAAAAGGAAAGAGAAAUGCUCAAUCACUGAAACUUUGUAUGAUGCUCAAUCGCUGAAACUUCGUAUUCAUCAAGCCCCGUCCCAGUCAACCGGAAAAGAUUUUUUUUCCCCCUACUUCCAAUUCUCUGUGGAGUUUAUUGUUUUCAUCUAGUUUCAUGUUCUUGUUGAUUGUAUUGAGGAUGUUUCAGUAAUUUUGACAGAUAAGAUUUGAAGACUGAAGAUCUGAAAUAUUCCUAGAGGUUAUCGUUUUGAAAACUUCGGGUGGAAUGAGAUCAUCUUUUUAUUAGUAAGAUACAGCAGAAUAAGUGUUUCUAAGUGGGAUUUUGAGGAUAGAUCAUCAUGGAAGACAGCAUUUUAUCACCUAGCACUAUGCCGGUCGUUCAUGCUGAUUCAGCUAUGGAAUUUGACUACAUGGAUAAAUUGUUGUUAGAAGGAUGCUGGCUGGAAACAAUAGAUGGAUCUGAGUUCUGUAAUCCUAGCACUUCUAGUUCUGCUGCCUUUGUGGAUGCUUCAUUUCUAUGGCCUACUUCAGAGAUCAAUGAUGGUGACUUGGCUUCCAGUCCGUCAAAGAGGAGUAAUCAAGAAGAGGAACAAAUAUCAUUGUUGCCCAGGAGUUCACCCUUGAAUGAAGCCCAUGGCAGAAGUCUGGUUAAUGCAUAUUCUCUUGAACAGGACAUAGGUAGUGCCGACAGAUUGGGAAAUAAUAUAACUGAAGGUUCUGAAGUAAGCAGAAGGUGGUGGAUUGGACCAAGAACAAAUCCAGGACCCAAAACUUCUGUGAGGGAUAGAUUAGUUAGAGCGCUUGGACACAUUAAAGAUUUCACAAAAGAUAAUGAUAUUCUUAUACAAAUAUGGGUCCCUGUAGACAAAGGAGGUAGACGUGUUCUAACAACUCAUGACCAACGAUUUGCACUUGUUCCCAACUGUCAAAGGCUGGCAAAUUAUAGAGACAUAUCCACUAACUAUCAAUUUUCAGCUGAGGAGGAUUCCAAGGACAUGGUGGGGCUACCCGGUCGGGUUUUCCUGGGUAAGAUUCCUGAGUGGACUCCUGAUGUUAGAUUCUUUAGAAGUGAUGAAUACCCCCGGGUAGAUCAUGCUCAACAAUAUGAUGUACGUGGAACUCUGGCACUUCCUGUUUUUGAAAUAGGUAGCAGUACUUGCCUGGGGGUUAUUGAGGUGGUAACGACUAGACAAAAGAUCAAGUACCAUCCUGAGCUUGAAAGCGUUUGCAAGGCACUUAAGGCAGUUGAUCUUCAGAGUUCUGAAGCUCCAAGCUUGCAUCAUGUAAAGGUGUGUGAUAUGUCCUACCAGGCUGUAUUACCUGAGAUUCAUGAGGUUCUGAGAUCUGCUUGUGAGACGCAUAAAUUGCCCUUAGCUCAGACUUGGGUUCCAUGCAUCCAGCAAGGCAAGGGAGGGUGCCGACAUUCAGAUGAAAACUACCAUCGUUGUGUUUCCACUGUGGAUCUUGCUUGCUAUGUACAUGACACUGGUGUCCAGGCUUUUCACGAGGCUUGCUCUGAGCAUCACUUGUUGAAAGGUCAAGGAGUUGCUGGGGAAGCAUUUUUGACUAACCAACCUUGCUUCUCAAGUGACAUAACUUCAUACGGCAAAACUGAGUAUCCUCUUUCUCACCAUGCAAGGAUGUUUGGUUUGCAUGCUGCUGUUGCAAUUCGCCUACGAAGUAUGCACACUGGUACAGCUGACUUUGUGCUGGAGUUCUUUCUGCCUGCAGAUUGCACAGAUCCUGAGAAACAGAAGAAGAUGCUUACUUCAUUGUCCCUCAUUAUACAACAAGUCUGCCAGUCCUUACGGGUAGUAACAGAGAAAGAGCUAGAGGAGGAAACUGGCUUGCUAAUUACUGAAGUUUUAGCCCCUUCAGAUGGUAGACCUCCCAAAGAAGAGAUGUUAAGGGUGACACAGCCUUAUUCUGAAAGUUAUGGUGGAGAUAUUUUAUCCCAUACGGACUGUCUCACAGGAAUCCAACGAAUUGGAAAUGUUGUCUCAUCAUGCCAAAAGGAGAAGCAAAAGGUACUCAUUAAUAAAAAAUUGGUGGACCUCAGGCAAAAUCAAGAAGAUUAUAGUCUAAAGGUGAGUGUUGAGUGUGGUGGUGAUUCUGCAGUUGCUGAAGGUAGCUUUUCAAGUGCCUGUAUGGGUAAAAUGGGAGAGAAAAGACGUAGCAAGGCAGAGAAAGCAAUUACCUUGCAAGUUCUUCAGCAAUAUUUUUCUGGAAGCUUAAAAGAUGCUGCAAGAAGCAUUGGCGUUUGCCCCACAACCUUGAAAAGAAUAUGCAGGCAACAUGGAAUAAAACGAUGGCCUUCUCGAAAAAUCAAGAAGGUUGGCCACUCCUUACAGAAACUCCAACUUGUGAUUGACUCGGUUCAAGGUGCCUCUGGUGCUUUUCAGAUUGGUUCCUUCUAUACAAACUUUCCUGAGCUGGCCUCUCCAAAUUUAUCAAGAAGCAAUCCAUUUUCAACCUCAAAGCAAAGUGAUCAUCCAGAGCCAUCAAGCAUACAACCUGAGGGAGGUAUUUUGAGCUCCCAUGUUGCUGCACAGAAAUCACCUUCUUCCUCAUGCAGUCAGAGUUCCAGUUCAAGCCAUUGCUGUUCCAGUGGGAUACAACAAAAUGCAUCUGCAUUCACCAUUCCCACCAGUGAAGAACCUGUGCUUGGAGAAAACUCUGGUAACUCUGUGUUAAAGAGGGUCAGAAGUGAUGCAGAGCUGCAAGCCUCUAUUCAAGAAGAACAAAACCUGUUGCCAAGAUCUCAAAGCCAUAAAUCUCUUAGUGAACAGCCUAUUUUGGGGAACCUUCCACCAUUACCUAAAAAUGGCAGCCUUAUAUCUCAAGAAAUUGAUGCUCAGAGAGUGAAAGUCACAUAUGGAAAUGAGAAAAUCAGGUUUCGCAUGCCAAAAAGUUGGGAACUUAAAGAUCUAUUACUAGAAAUUGGGAGACGAUUUAAUAUAGAUGAUGUUCAUAAAUAUGAUCUAAAGUACUUGGAUGAUGACUCUGAGUGGAUCUUAUUAACUUGUGAUGAUGAUUUGGAGGAGUGUAUUGAUCUAUGCCAAUCAUCUCAAAGCCACACAAUUAAACUCUUGCUCCAAAUUUCUCCUCAUCUCUUGGACAGGUCUAUGAACAGCCAUGGCCUUUCAUGAUAUUAAAGAGAUGCUUUGAGUUGUGUCAAUGAGGUUGGAACUUGGAAGUGGAUCGUUGUUGGAAUGUUAAAGCCUUGCAGUAGACUGCUGGACUGUGAACAUAGAAUCCCAACGGCAAUGUUGAUAAGGUGAUGUUUAUGGGUUACAGUUGGAAGGCUGUUUCAAACCAGGGAUAUAAGCUCACUAUCGUGAUCUGUGAAAUAGAAAAAUUAUAGGAUUCCAAAAUGACAACUGAAAAAUAGUAAGCUUGGAGCUUGAGAGAAGUUGAUGAUUUUGCUUCUUCUGUGGGGGAUUGUGCCUGUAUAUUCGAAAAAGAAGAGUGGAAUAAAACCUCUCUAUCAGGUGUAAAAUGUCCUAAUCAAACUGAAAUGGAGAUUCUUUUUGGUGCUGUUCCCUGGUGUUGUGUUAUGAGCUGACUAUCUAGAGAGAAUGUUCUGGCGUCACUAGACUUGAAGCCACUUGGUUUUGCAUUUGCUUCCACUGUGUUUUUGGAAAGUAGGUGGAAUUGCAUCAGGUUGAUCAUUGUUUCCAAGGUUCUCCCCUUGCUAAAUUCCCUUAACAAGAACCCUUUCCCAUUAAAUAAAAUCUAUGAUUUGUUAGGUUUUUUUUUUUAAUAAAAGAUAGUGUUGUGUUGCUGCCAAGGAAAAUUCCAACAACAAUUCUUGUUAUGUCUUGGCUUGGACUUGAUGAUGCAUUGGGAGCCACGGGACCAGAACUUGAAAUUUAACAAGAGGAAAGUUGCUAUACGCCUAUAUCUGUAAUUCUGUGUUCUGUAUCAUGAAUUGAAACAGAUGAAAGAUAAAGGUGGAGUUGAACACAAAAUCAAAAUUAAAUAAAAUUGGGAUGAAAUUACAUUUUUAAAUAGUUAAAAUCAAUUAUA